UGUAUAUCUUGAUCCUGAUUUUAUGAAAAGGUUUUUGUUACAGAGAAUACCGGAGGUGUCUUGAAAAAAGAAGCUAUUUGGUGAAACACUGAGAAAGUCACAUAAAUGAGAAGAGAAGACUACAGUGGUUUUGAUGACACAGAAAGGCUAACUACGGUUUAGAAAGAGUAGUUGGAAGAAAGAACCCUUUGAAAGUGGUUGUAAAGGUAAGUACAAUUUUAAAACUAUAAAUUAUGAUCUUUUAUUUUUUGAGGCUGACGUUUAGAAACUUUCAUUAAGGUAGUGUUACAACCUUAUUCUUACUCAUUUUCCGAAAUGUUAAAUUUAAUUUUUCUUUAAGUAAAUUUCAUUCUAAUAAUUUGAUAUUGAAAAACUGCUUUUGUUCUUAAGUGAGAUACUAGAGGUUCUGUGCUACUCGAGUCUCACUCAAUGAUUUUACUCAGAAGCACCCCUGUAUUUUUAGUGAUGUUGAUGUCACGAUGAACUUUUUCGAUGGUUUUAAGUUUAAUGCACAUCAUUCGAUAACUUCGCCCAAAACUUUCACGAAAAUUCAUGUAUUCUUAUGCCACGGAUAACCAACUGCCCGACACUCUGUUCUAAGAAUGCCGAGACUUAAUUUGAUAAUACCUGCCACCUACGUAAACGCUAUAUUUAAUUCAGAUAUUGAAGUAGCUGUUUAGUACUUUUCAGGGUUCUAUGCCUCAAUCGAAUCUUCAACUCAUGUGUCUACCAGUUAUCUUCAAAACGAUUUAACGUAGAAAGUUGAAAUUACCUCUCAAAACUAUGAAUAAAGGAUGACAAUUAACAAUAAUUUUGUAGAAGCUGAAAAAGAGCUAAGAUAUUUUGAGAGUUGUUUUUAAAAUUGCGUAUAAAAAAGUAUGUUUCCCAAACCACUGAAUCGAAAAUUAUGAAAAAGAUCAGAAUUAAUGAAAAUUUUCGUAAACUUUAACGUAUCCAUUAGGUUGGUACAGAACCGCCUGUAUGCGAAUCGAACUUCAUUUAGGACGAAUCUAAUUCCCAUUUGGUCUUAAUUUUACUAUAUUGAAUUAAACCACGAAAAAAAAACUCUUAAACAUUCAUUUUUAUUAACCAACGUCGGUAUUAUUCAAGCAACAAAAUUUAGAGUAUAAUAAUUUUUAGGUACCUAUUAUAUUGAAUAAAUACUUCAAAAAGUAAUAAAAAACUUCAUGUUAGUAAUAUCAAUAGAAACAUAUAAAAGUAAAAUAAUUAUGGCUUACAACGAUUGAUAGUAAUUAUGGGGUCAAUUUAAAAACUGAAAUAGAUAUUCACAUUAUAGACCAUUGCUAAAGGGGUAGCAGAAAUAAAUACUGAUAAGUUAAUUAAGAGUGACUUAAAAAACAAUAAAUGUAACGUUUAAAAUCGAAAAAAUAAUUCUUAAGGAAGCCCCCUCUUGCAACAGUGUGCCUUCAUUGGAUAAAUUUAAAAAUAAUUUCAAAAUCUCUUA